GACGAACGCUGGCGGCGUGCCUAAUACAUGCAAGUCGAACGAGCGGCGGACGGGUGAGUAAUGUAUGGGGAUCUGCCCGAUAGAGGGGGAUAACUAAUGGAAAAGGUGGCUAAUACCGCAUACUCUCGGAUGAACCCAUAUGGGAUUAGCGGGUGGGUGGGGUAAAGGCUCACCUAGGCGACGAUCGUUAGCUGGUCUGAGAGGAUGAUCAGCCACACUGGUACUGAGACACGGCCCAGACUCCUACGGGAGGCAGCAGUGGGGAAUUUUGCACAAUGGGCGCAAGCCUGAUCCAGCCAUGCCGCGUGUAUGAAGAAGGCCUUCGGGUUGUAAAGUACUUUUGGCGGGGAGGCGGUACCCGCAGAAGAAGCACCGGCUAACUACGUGCCAGCAGCCGCGGUAAUAC
rnacentral:rRNA from 1 species